rnacentral:rRNA from 1 species
CGUGUAGGCGGUCGGCCAAGUCUGAUGUGAAAGCCCGAGGCUCAGCCUCGGAAGUGCGUCGGAAACUAGUCGGCUGGAGCGCGAUAGAGGAGGGUGGAAUUCCUGGUGUAGCGGUGAAAUGCGUAGAUAUCAGGAGGAACACCGGCGGCGAAGGCGGCCCUCUGGAUCGUUGCUGACGCUGAGACGCGAAAGCGUGGGGAGCAAACAGGAUUAGAUACCCUGGUAGUCCACGCUGUAAACGAUGGGUACUAGGUGUUCGGGGUAUUGACCCCCUGAGUGCCGCAGCUAACGCAUUAGUACCCCGCUGGGGACUACGGCCGCAAGGUUAA